AUACGGAGGAUCCGAGCGUUAUCCGGAUUUAUUGGGUUUAAAGGGUGCGUAGGCGGGAGAUUAAGUCAGUGGUGAAAGUUUGCAGCUUAACUGUAAAAUUGCCAUUGAAACUGAUUUUCUUGAGUGUAAAUAAGGUAGGCGGAAUGUGUUGUGUAGCGGUGAAAUGCAUAGAUAUAACACAGAACCCCGAUUGCGAAGGCAGCUUACCGGGCUACAACUGACGCUGAGGCACGAAAGCGUGGGGAUCAAACAGGAUUAGAUACCCUGGUAGUCCACGCAGUAAACGAUGAAUACUAACUGUUUGCGAUAUACAGUAAGCGGUACAGCGAAAGCGUUAAGUAUUCCACCUGGGGAGUACGUUCGCAAGAAUGAA
rnacentral:rRNA from 1 species